rnacentral:rRNA from 1 species
UAGGGAAUCUUCGGCAAUGGACGAAAGUCUGACCGAGCAACGCCGCGUGAGUGAAGAAGGUUUUCGGAUCGUAAAACUCUGUUGGUAGAGAAGAACGUUGGUGAGAGUGGAAAGCUCAUCAAGAGACGGUAACUACCCAGAAAGGGACGGCUAACUACGUACCAG